rnacentral:rRNA from 1 species
CCUACGGGGGGCUGCAGUGGGGAAUAUUGGACAAUGAGGGGAACCCUGAUCCAGCCAUGCCGCGUGUGUGAAGAAGGCCCUCGGGUUGUAAAGCACUUUCAGUGAGGAAGAACGCCUGGUGGUUAAUACCCAUCAGGAAAGACAUCACUCACAGAAGAAGCACCGGCUAACUCCGUGCCAGCAGCCGCGGUAAUACGGAGGGUGCGAGCGUUAAUCGGAAUUACUGGGCGUAAAGCGCGCGUAGGUGGCUUGAUAAGCCGGUUGUGAAAGCCCCGGGCUCAACCUGGGAACGGCAUCCGGAACUGUCAAGCUAGAGUGCAGGAGAGGAAGGUAGAAUUCCCGGUGUAGCGGUGAAAUGCGUAGAGAUCGGGAGGAAUACCAGUGGCAAAGGCGGCCUUCUGGACUGACACUGACACUGAGGUGCGAAAGCGUGGGUAGCAAACAGGAUUAGAUACCCGAGUAGUC